rnacentral:lncRNA from 1 species
GGUUCCUUUUAAAGUUUCGCUUCGUUGCUUCCUUCACUCGGAUUUCGACAUCAACAAAUCCUUCCCACCGACUGGGUCGAAAAAGGUUAAAGGCUACCCGGGAAGGUGGGCGAGAAGCCUCGAAGGCACGCCGUCGUUGUUGGUGGCGGCGGGCGCAUCCUCCUCGGUUUCCCUGAGAAUCCCGACCGAGCCGCCUUUCCCAGGAG